rnacentral:rRNA from 1 species
UACAGAGGGUGCAAGCGUUGUUCGGAAUUAUUGGGCGUAAAGGGAGUGUAGGCGGCUUACUAAGUCUCAUGUGAAAUCUACGGGCUCAGCCUGUAACGUGCAUGGGAAACUGGUAGGCUGGAGUGUCAAAGAGGAGAGUGGAAUUCCCGGUGUAGAAGUGAAAUUCGUAGAGAUCGGGAGGAACACCAGUGGCGAAGGCGACUCUCUGGUUGACAACUGACGCUGAGACUCGAAAGCAUGGGAAGCAAACAGG